CAGGCUGAUCUCCCCCAAGAGUUCACAUCGACGGGGAGGUUUGGCACCUCGAUGUCGGCUCAUCGCAUCCUGGGGCUGGAGAAGGUCCCAAGGGUCCGGCUGUUCGCCGGUUAAAGCGGUACGCGAGCUGGGUUUAGAACGUCGCAAGACAGUUCGGUCCCUAUCUGGUGUGGGCGCAGGAGAUUUGAGAGGAUCUGCUUCUAGUACGAGAGGACCGAAGCAGACGAGCCAAUGGUGUUCCAGUUGUUUCGCCAGGAGCAUUGCUGGGUAGCCAAGCUCGGAAAGGAUAAGCGCUGAAAGCAUCUAAGCGCCAAGCCCCCCUCAAGAUUAGAUCUCCCUCUCCGACUUUGUCGGAGUGAAGGCAGCCCGGAGAUAACGGGAUUGAUAGGCUCCAUGUGUAAGUCCAGUAAUGGAUUGAGCAUAGGAGUACUAAUCUGCCGAUCGGCUUAACCCAA
rnacentral:rRNA from 1 species